rnacentral:lncRNA from 1 species
UUCUGUCAUGCAUCAAGAUCAUGCCAAUAUAACUGCAAGAGAAGUGAAAGAGUUCGCUGGAAGUUCAGCUCCAUUAUCCACAAAAUAUGGAGGGGAUUCUCAGAGAAGGCUUGAUGGUUCUGUCACUUUUGUAAGGUUUGCUGAGAAGCACCGCCGGCUGUUAAAUGCUUUUAUCAGACAGAAUCCAGGCUUGUUGGAGAAAUCACUUUCGUUGGUGCUGAAAGCACCAAGGCUGAUUGAUUUUGACAAUAAAAGAGCAUAUUUCCGCUCAAGAAUCAGGCAACAGCAUGAGCAACACCUCUCUGGUCCACUGCGGAUUAGUGUCCGGCGAGCAUAUGUGUUAGAGGACUCAUACAAUCAGUUGCGCUUGCGACCAACUCAGGAAUUAAAG